ACUCCUGCGGGAGGCAGCAGUGGGGAAUAUUGGACAAUGGGCGCAAGCCUGAUCCAGCCAUGCCGCGUGAGUGAUGAAGGCCCUAGGGUUGUAAAGCUCUUUCACCGGUGAAGAUAAUGACGGUAACCGGAGAAGAAGCCCCGGCUAACUUCGUGCCAGCAGCCGCGGUAAUACGAAGGGGGCUAGCGUUGUUCGGAUUUACUGGGCGUAAAGCGCACGUAGGCGGACUAUUAAGUCAGGGGUGAAAUCCCGGGGCUCAACCCCGGAACUGCCUUUGAUACUGGUAGUCUUGAGUUCGAGAGAGGUGAGUGGAAUUCCGAGUGUAGAGGUGAAAUUCGUAGAUAUUCGGAGGAACACCAGUGGCGAAGGCGGCUCACUGGCUCGAUACUGACGCUGAGGUGCGAAAGCGUGGGGAGCAAAUAGGAUUAGAAACCCCGGUAGUCCCA
rnacentral:rRNA from 1 species